AUAAAAGAGAAAUAUUCCAUUUGAGAUAAAUAUAUUAAACAAUAAAUUUGUCAGAGCCAGUUUAAUGUUCAAUGCUGUUAUCGUCAUCUUUGACACAUGUCGGAAAGGGGGAAAAUCCAUCAAUGUACAGGAAGGAAUCGAGCACUGUGACCCUUCAGGAUGACAAUAAACCACAUUAUGUAGCAACAAAUAUGAUGUGAAGCCGACUGUGAAUGAUUCGAGGACAAAUGAAACGGCCGUGGACUAAAAAUGGUACUAUCCUGGCAUUUUAGAGGAUAAACCGAGAAAACUUCAAGAAAGUCAGAUCACAACAAUCAAUACUAUUACCACCACCAC